UCGCCCUCAGAACUUUUUUUCAAAAACUAUUUAAUUUGUCAUUUCAUCCGACAUUGAAUAUUUUAAAUUUAAUGCUUUAUGCUAUGAAAUUUCCUAAGAUUGAAUUGAAUAAGGCAGGAAGUUCUAAACCUCAUUAACUAAACUUUUCUUGUUUUAGGACACUUUAAAUUAUAAUUUCUGUUCCUGCAUGUCGCUGGUUAAAGGAACUGUAGUCGUAAUUUGAAGUGACUCUCUUCUUAAAGACUAAAGAGGGACAUGUCAGACUCGCAUUGGUACCCUUGAAACUUUAUCUCGACUAAAAUGUGGAAGAUAUUGUCGUUAAUAUCUUCAUUGCGUCAGUGGCAAGUUUCAUUUUUGAAUUAACCAAAAAAGAAGAUAGUCUGUUAUCAAACACAAAGUGGUUUUUAUGGCUAAUUUGAGGGAAUCAUGAUAUUAAUUUCUGUGUAAAACUAAUUAAAUAUUUUGCCUUGUUGAUAAAAUGUGAAACAUGUUUUGUAUUCGUAUGCCGUGUUAUAUAUGCAACACCCGAUUGUACCUGAAUAUCUUGUAUCUAAUCCCAAACAACACGGCGGUGUACAUCAUUAAAUAUUAUUAUAUUAUAAUUGACACUUCAUAAUAUAAUGAGGAGUAUAGCUGUUAUGUUUGCUUUGCUAAAUAAAAUAAAUCCAGUUUCGAAGUUU